rnacentral:rRNA from 1 species
UCGGGAAUUUUGGGCAAUGGGCGAAAGCCUGACCCAGCAACGCCGCGUGAAGGAUGAAAUCCUUCGGGAUGUAAACUUCGCAAGAACGGGAAGAAUAAGUCUGUGCAAAUAUCACAGAUGAUGACGGUACCGUUUGUAAGCUCCGGCUAACUCCGUG